rnacentral:rRNA from 1 species
GAUGAACGCUGGCGGCGUGCCUAAUACAUGCAAGUCGAGCGAACGGACGAGAAGCUUGCUUCUCUGAUGUUAGCGGCGGACGGGUGAGUAACACGUGGAUAACCUACCUAUAAGACUGGGAUAACUUCGGGAAACCGUAGCUAAUACCGGAUAAUAUUUUGAACCGCAUGGUUCAAAAGUGAAAGACGGUCUUGCUGUCACUUAUAGAUGGAUCCGCGCUGCAUUAGCUAGUUGGUAAGGUAACGGCUUACCAAGGCAACGAUGCAUAGCCGACCUGAGAGGGUGAUCGGCCACACUGGAACUGGGACACGGUCCAGACUCCUACGGGAGGCAGCAGUAGGGAAUCUUCCGCAAUGGGCGAAAGCAUGACGGAGCAACGCCGCGUGAGUGAUGAAGGUCUUCGGAUCGUAAAACUCUGUUAUUAGGGAAGAACAUAUGUGUAAGUAACUGUGCACAUCUUGACGGUACCUAAUCAGAAAGCCACGGCUAACUACGUG